GGGUGCGUAACACGUAUGCAAUCUGCCCUCAACAGGAGAAUAGCUCCCCGAAAGGGGAAUUAACACUCCGUAACAAGAUGGUGUGGCAUCACAUUAUUUUUAAAACUACGGUGGUUGAGGAUGAGCAUGCGCAUGAUUAGUUAGUUGGCGGGGUAACGGCCCAUCAAGACGAUGAUCAUUAGGGGAACUGAGAGGUUGAUCCCCCACACUGGCACUGAGAUACGGGCCAGACUCCUACGGGAGGCAGCAGUAGGGAAUAUUGGACAAUGGGUGCGAGCCUGAUCCAGCCAUGCCGCGUGCAGGAAGACGGCCUUCUGGGUUGUAAACUGCUUUUGCCAGGGGAUAAAACGUUCCUGCGGGAAUAAUUGAAGGUACCUGGUGAAUAAGCCACGGCUAACUACGUGCCAGCAGCCGCGGUAAUACGUAGGUGGCGAGCGUUGUCCGGAUUUACUGGGUGUAAAGGGCGUGUAGGCGGGAUUGCAAGUCAGAUGUGAAAUUCCAGGGCUCAACUCUGGAGCUGCAUCUGAAACUGUGAUUCUUGAGUGCUGGAGAGGAUAGUGGAAUUCCUAGUGUAGCGGUGAAAUGCGUAGAUAUUAGGAGGAACACCAGUGGCGAAGGCGGCUAUCUGGACAGUAACUGACGCUGAGGCGCGAAAGCGUGGGGAGCAAACAGGAUUAGAUACCCUGGUAGUCCACGCUGUAAACGAUGGAUACUAGGUGUAGGAGGUAU
rnacentral:rRNA from 1 species